AGAGUUUGAUCCUGGCUCAGGAUGAACGCUAGCUACAGGCUUAACACAUGCAAGUCGAGGGGCAGCAUGGUCUUAGCUUAGCUAAGGCUUGAUGGCGACCGGCGCACGGGUGAGUAACACGUAUCCAACCUGCCGUCUACUCUUGGCCAGCCUUCUGAAAGGAAGAUUAAUCCAGGAUGGGAUCAUGAGUUCACAUGUCCGCAUGAUUAAAGGUAUUUUCCGGUAGACGAUGGGGAUGCGUUCCAUUAGAUAGUAGGCGGGGUAACGGCCCACCUAGUCAACGAUGGAUAGGGGUUCUGAGAGGAAGGUCCCCCCACAUUGGAACUGAGACACGGUCCAAACUCCUACGGGAGGCAGCA
rnacentral:rRNA from 1 species